UACGUAGGUGGCAAGCGUUGUCCGGAAUCAUUGGGCGUAAAGGGCGUGUAGGUGGGUUUUUAAGUCGUGUGUCUAAGUGCGGGGCUCAACUCCGUAUGGGCGCAGGAAACUGGAGAUCUUGAGUGCAGGAGAGGAAAGUGGAAUUCCCAGUGUAGCGGUGAAAUGCGUAGAUAUUGGGAGGAACACCAGUGGCGAAGGCGACUUUCUGGACUGUGUCUGACACUGAGGCGCGAAAGCCGAGGGUAGCGACGUA
rnacentral:rRNA from 1 species